rnacentral:lncRNA from 1 species
UUGUAUGAUUAUCGCCUCGCAUUGCAUUUUAUGGGAAUCCCGGUGUGGUGUAGUGGAUAGAGUGAUGGCAUGGGACUUUGGAGAACUGGGUUCAAAUCUCCACUUGGCCAUGGCAACUCCCGGGAUGUGGUGGCAGUGGCUGGAACAGAUAAAAAUCAGUCCUUAAAUAUAUCACUUACCUUGUUCAGGUUGCUACAAGUCAGUUCCAGUUGAGAGCACAUAACACAUGCACACAAAUACACCUUGCUUUUUAUAGCUUUCUGGUUCCUCUACUUACACUCUUUCUUGCUUCAUUGCACACCUAUGCUUAUGUGCAUAAAAUUUACAUCCAACAUUGGCAGACAUGUAUAUGCUUGCCAAUGCUGAAUGUGUGAUCUGAUGAAGUGGGCUGCAAACCACAAAAGUGCAUAUUGUUAAAAAAUCCUCCGUUUUUCAGGUGCCACAGGACUCUCCUUUGUGUGUGAUUAUUAAGUGCUAUUGGACCAGUGUCUGUGUAAACCUGAAAUUAUUCUACUCUGUCAUUUAACUUUGUGCAACACAAGACCUUUGCACUUGUGUAUGCAUGAGCUAUAAUUCCUCUGGGGAACUUAAACAAGAGCAAAUGAAAGCAGAAUUGAUUUGCUUGGGUUUUUCCUUCCCUCCAGCAGACAGAGCUGAGUUAAAGGAGAGACUGCAAGGCUUCAAACUUGGCUGGAAGGUUCAGCGAUCAACAGAAUUUAUGCUGGAAGCAGAUGUUCCGAGAGCUCAGAAGGGCCAUUUCACAUUAUGAGACCUUCUCAUGGUUUGGGAAGAGAUUACAAAUAAUUUAAUGUAAGGAACAACAUGUAGUUUUUAAAAAAUCUUUAGAAUGCAUGAUAGGAUAAUUAUAUUUAUCAGUAGGUUUAGGGACGUGGUGGCGCUGUGGGCUAAACCGCAGAAGCCUGUGCUGCAGGGUCAGAAGACCAAGCAGUCGUAAGAUCGAAUCCAUGCGACGGAGUGAGCUCCCGUCGCUUGUCCCAGCUCCCGCCAACCUAGCGGUUCGAAAGCAUGCAAAUGCAAGUAGAUAAAUAGGGACCAUCUCGGUGGGAAGGUAAACAGCGUUCCGUGUCUAAUCACACUGGCCAUGUGACCACGGAAAGAUUGUCUUCAGACAAAACGCUGGAUCUAUGGCUUGAAGAGUGGGAUGAGCGCCGCCCCCUAGAGUCGGACACGACUGGACAAAAAUUGUCAAGGGGAACCUUUACCUUUACCUUUACCUUUAGAUUGAGGUGAGCACCCUGCUCCACCAAUGAGGUGAGACUCAGUUCCAGUGGCGCAGUGUGUGUG